CACGUAGGGCGCAAGCGUUGUCCGGAAUUAUUGGGCGUAAAGAGCUCGUAGGCGGUCUGUUGCGUCCGCUGUGAAAACUCGGGGCUUAACCCCGAGCCUGCAGUGGAUACGGGCAGACUAGAGGUAGGUAGGGGAGAAUGGAAUUCCCGGUGUAGCGGUGAAAUGCGCAGAUAUCGGGAGGAACACCGGUGGCGAAGGCAGCUCACUGGGACGGUAUUGACGCUGAGACGCGAAAGCGUGGGGAGCAAACAGG
rnacentral:rRNA from 1 species